AAAUAUCUUUCAAGCCUAGGGGACAAGAGAAAUCAAGAAAAUCUUAUGCGCCUUCGCAAUGUGGUGGAAGCAAAUUACAGAGUUUUGUGUCUUCAAGUGGCCCGCUGAUCAUGACUCGAGAUCCUUGUCUUGACAAGGACGGGCAAAAAAAGAAACCAAGGCGCAUCAAGUUCUCAGAUGCCUCCACAGCAGGAUCGUAAUACUUCAAAAUUCUUCAACUUGGAGGGCCACACUGCUGCUGUACCUGGCAAAAGCAAUUGUGAAACUUUGGUU
rnacentral:misc_RNA from 1 species